rnacentral:rRNA from 1 species
CGCAAGCCUGACGGAGCAAGACCGCGUGGGGGAUGAAGGUUUGUGGAUUGUAAACCCCUUUUGUCAGGGAAGAAUGAUGACGGUACCUGACGAAUCAGCAUCGGCUAACUCCGUGCCAGCAGCCGCGGUAAUACGGAGGAUGCAAGCGUUAUCCGGAAUUAUUGGGCGUAAAGCGUCCGCAGGUGGUUGAGUAAGUCUGCUGUCAAAGCGCGAGGCUUAACUUCGUAUAGGCAGUGGAAACUACUAGACUAGAGUGCGGUAGGGGCAGAGGGAAUUCCCAGUGUAGCGGUGAAAUGCGUAGAUAUUGGGAAGAACACCGGUGGCGAAAGCGCUCUGCUGGGCCUGCACUGACACUGAUGGACGAAAGCUA